rnacentral:rRNA from 1 species
GAUGAACGCUAGCGACAGGCCUAACACAUGCAAGUCGAGGGGCAGCACAUGAGAAGCAAUACGCUGGUGGCGACCGGCGCACGGGUGAGUAACACGUAUGCAACCUGCCUUCUACUAUGGGAUAACCCGUUGAAAGACGGACUAAUACCGUAUAAUACAGGGGCUCCGCAUGGCGAUCUUUGUUACAGAUUUAUUGGUAGAAGAUGGGCAUGCGUAUGAUUAGAUAGUUGGUGAGGGAACGGCUCACCAAGUCAACGAUCAUUAGGGGUUCUGAGAGGAAGGUCCCCCACACUGGUACUGAGACACGGACCAGACUCCUACGGGAGGCAGCAGUGAGGAAUAUUGGUCAAUGGACGAGAGUCUGAACCAGCCAAGUCGCGUGAAGGAAGACGGUUCUAUGAAUUGUAAACUUCUUUUGUGCAGGAAUAAAGUGGGUUACGUGUAACCUUUUGUAUGUACUGUACGAAUAAGGAUCGGCUAACUCCGUGCCAGCCGCCGCCGUAAUAC